CCAAGCACAGCCCCUCAACCAUCAUCACCCAUAUCCCAAAAACAGAAACACAUCCAUUUGUUUUUGGAAAACAAAAAAAACAAAAAACAGAGAAACAAACAGAGUACAAAAUGGAGAGUGCUCUCUUAUCGUCUUCUCGGUUUCUCUCUUCACAAAAUAGAGAAUUGGGUGGACUAUUGAGGAAUUUUCAGAGCUCGUUUUAUGGUAAACUGAUAUUUAACAGAAGUUUUGUGGGCAGAGAUAGCAGUAUCCGCCAUGGCAGCACCAGCAUAGUAGCCUCAGUGGUUGGAAAGAAGGUCAAGAAAGAAACUGUUAUUCCUGAUCCAGAUUACCGUAUACCAAUUGUCCUACUUGGUUUCGCUGGUGGCUUAGUUUAUACAAAUAAUUUGUUACCAGCAGCUCCUGUAGGUCUUCUCGGAUUACUCCUAUUAGUCCAGACAACUAGGGUGAGAUUUGUCUUCGAUAAGGAGGCUCUGGAAGUAAAAGUUGGAGAGCAGCUUGAGGAGUCGGGUGAAAAUGUUUUUGUGGGUGGAAAAAACCGUUGGAAGUACUCAACAUUUGUAAAUUGGGAGCUCUGGUGGCCAAAUUUUCCGGUUUUAGUGUAUUUUAAGGAGACACAAACGAAGCCUGAAGGACAAGUGCACUUUUUCCCAGUAAUCUUUGAUGGGAAGCAACUUUAUGACGUUAUGGUAGAACGAGCAGGCCCUUCAAAAACUAGCGGUCCAAAACAGUCUUAGAGCUCCAUGCUAAUAACUACCCUGCCAUGCCAUCUCAGAUCAGACAUGUCAGUUUCAUGAGGUAAAAGAGGUUUUUCUGUGAGCUGCUUGAAGUUGCUUAUAGUACUUAGUGCAUAUACUUUCUUGAUCUAGACCAAGCUAUGUAAUUAUUGGACCUAUUACUUCAACACAAUUGUUAGAAAGCACAUUGUAACUGCCUCGAUAAAUUAUACUUGGAAAAUAAAAAAUGAUGAAACAGUGAAUUUUGUUUUCACGUAUAUAAAUGGGUGGAACAUUUGUUUG